rnacentral:rRNA from 1 species
CGUAACGCGUGGGAAUCUGCCUUUAGGUUCGGAAUAACUCAGAGAAAUUUGAGCUAAUACCGGAUAAUGUCUUCGGACCAAAGAUUUAUCGCCUUUAGAUGGGCCCGCGUUAGAUUAGAUAGUUGGUGGGGUAAUGGCCUACCAAGUCGACGAUCUAUAGCUGGUCUGAGAGGAUGAUCAGCCACACUGGGACUGAGACACGGCCCAGACUCCUACGGGAGGCAGCAGUGGGGAAUAUUGGACAAUGGGCGAAAGCCUGAUCCAGCAAUGCCGCGUGAGUGAUGAAGGCCUUAGGGUUGUAA